UACGAAGGGUGCAAGCGUUGUUCGGAAUCAUUGGGCGUAAAGCGCGCGCAGGCGGAUUAAUAAGUCAGGUGUGAAAUCUCGGGGCUCAACCUCGAAACUGCGCCUGAAACUAUUAGUCUAGAAUGUCGGAGGGGGUAGGGGAAUUUCACGUGUAGGGGUAAAAUCCGUAGAGAUGUGAAGGAACACCGGUGGCGAAGGCGCCUACCUGGACGACUAUUGACGCUGAGGCGCGAAAGCGUGGGGAGCAAACAGG
rnacentral:rRNA from 1 species